rnacentral:rRNA from 1 species
ACGCCGCGUGAACGAUGAAGGCUUUCGGGUCGUAAAGUUCUGUUGUAAGGGAAGAACAAGUGCCGCAGGCAAUGGCGGCACCUUGACGGUACCUUGCGAGAAAGCCACGGCUAACUACGUGCCAGCAGCCGCGGUAAUACGUAGGUGGCAAGCGUUGUCCGGAAUUAUUGGGCGUAAAGCGCGCGCAGGCGGCCUCUUAAGUCUGAUGUGAAAGCCCCCGGCUCAACCGGGGAGGGCCAUUGGAAACUGGGAGGCUUGAGUAUAGGAGAGAAGAGUGGAAUUCCACGUGUAGCGGUGAAAUGCGUAGAGAUGUGGAGGAACACCAGUGGCGAAGGCGACUCUUUGGCCUAUAACUGACGCUGAGGCGCGAAAGCGUGGGGAGCAAACAGGAUUAGAUACCCUGGUAGUCCACGCCGUAAACGAUGAGUGCUAGGUGUUGGAGGGUUUCCGCCCUUCAGUGCUGAAGCUAACGCAUUAAGCACUCCGCCU